rnacentral:miRNA from 1 species
CUAUUACAACUUGCUAGCUUGC